UGCAGUCGAGCGGACCGAAGGGAGCUUGCUCCUUUAGGUUAGCGGCGGACGGGUGAGUAACACGUGGGCAACCUGCCCUGCAGACUGGGAUAACUUCGGGAAACCGGAGCUAAUACCGGAUAACACCGAAAACCGCAUGGUUUUCGGUUGAAAGGCGGCUUUUAGCUGUCACUGCAGGAUGGGCCCGCGGCGCAUUAGCUAGUUGGUGAGGUAACGGCUCACCAAGGCGACGAUGCGUAGCCGACCUGAGAGGGUGACCGGCCACACUGGGACUGAGACACGGCCCAGACUCCUACGGGAGGCAGCAGUAGGGAAUCUUCCGCAAUGGACGAAAGUCUGACGGAGCAACGCCGCGUGAGCGAAGAAGGUCUUCGGAUCGUAAAGCUCUGUUGUCAGGGAAGAACAAGUACCGUUCGAACAGGGCGGUACCUUGACGGUACCUGACGAGGAAGCCACGGCUAACUACGUGCCAGCAGCCGCGGUAAUACGUAGGUGGCAAGCGUUGUCCGGAAUUAUUGGGCGUAAAGCGCGCGCAGGCGGUUCCUUAAGUCUGAUGUGAAAUCUCGCGGCUCAACCGCGAGCGGCCAUUGGAAACUGGGGAACUUGAGUGCAGGAGAGGGGAGCGGAAUUCCACGUGUAGCGGUGAAAUGCGUAGAGAUGUGGAGGAACACCAGUGGCGAAGGCGGCUCUCUGGCCUGUAACUGACGCUGAGGCGCGAAAGCGUGGGGAGCGAACAGGAUUAGAUACCCUGGUAGUCCACGCCGUAAACGAUGAGUGCUAAGUGUUAGAGGGUAUCCACCCUUUAGUGCUGCAGCAAACGCAUUAAGCACUCCGCCUGGGGAGUACGGCCGCAAGGCUGAAACUC
rnacentral:rRNA from 1 species